rnacentral:piRNA from 1 species
UGCAGCCACCCAGGUAGCAUACGCUCUUUGCU